CACCAGAUCGUCAGUUUUGAUCUGAAACCCUAGAGUUUUUGUUGUUGUUAUUGAUGUUAUUUUUUCUUCGAUGUUGUUGUUCUUGUUUAUUGACGUUGUUGUUAUUGAUAAUGUUGUUGUUUAUUGACGUUGUUGUUCUUGAUAUUGUGUUUGAUGUUGUUGUUUUUUUAUUGUUAUUUUUUUUUGUUGAUAUUGAUAUUGAGAUUAUGUGUUUUGUGAUUCUUUGU
rnacentral:lncRNA from 1 species